CGGGUAGUCACCGGGUAGUCACCGGGUAGUCACCGGGUAGUCACCGGGUAGUCACCAUGUGAGUCACCGGGUAGUCACCGGGUAGUCACCGGGUAGUCACCGGGUAAUCACCGGGUAGUCACCAUGUGAGUCACCGGGUAGUCACCGGGUAGUCACCAUGUGAGUCACCGGGUAAUCACCGGGUAGUCACCAUGUGAGUCACCGGGUAGUCACCAUGUGAGUCACCGGGUAGUCACCGUGUGAGUCACUGUGUAGUCACCGUGUAGUCACCGGGUAGUCACCGGGUAGUCACCGUGUAGUCACCGGGUAGUCCACGUAUGAGUCACCGUGUAGUCACCGUGUAGUCACCGGGUAGUCACCGGGUAGUCACCGUGUAGUCAACGGGUAGUCACCGGGUAGUCACCUCAAAGCCAGUUCCACUCCUGCUUUUAGUCUUCCCCUCUAAUCAGGGACUGAUUUAGACCUGGGACACCAGGUGGGUGCAAUUAAUUAUCAGGUAGAACAGAAAACCAGCAGUACUCCGGUCCUCCGGGUUCGGAUUUGAAUACCAGUACCCUUGCUUUAUUCUCUUUUGGACGAAUCAGAACCAUUGGCGUGGUGGUUCCUCAGGUUCCUCAGUUAUGAGGCUUGCAUCUAAUUAUUGUAUAAAAUAAAUGAGUAAAAAUUAAACUAUUUGUGAAAUGAUGUAAUGUGAUAUUUAGUCUUCUAAAUGAGAGAAUUGUUUUCAUAAGUAAACUGGUGCUCACUCAGCAGCCACGCCCAAGUGAAUAGACAUUGGUUGGAAAGGAUGAACCAACCCCUUUUCUACAUUUCUAUAAAAGCCCUGUGACGAAAACUCACCUCAGUUCCAAAAAACAGGAGGACUUGUCCUCCAAGUUGAAAAGGGCUAAUUUCAACUAUACAGGCCAGGAAACGAGAGCUUGCUCCACACGUGAAAUGGUAUGAACUCUGAACUAUUGAUCACCUAAAGAAGAAGUGCAUACUAAACUAGCGUAUAUCAGACUGCAGCUGAACAUAUGCGCAAAUCUAGUACGAGAACACUGACCGACGCGGACGAAUCUCCAGAGUGAGGUUAACCUUUUGGACCACGUGAACCUCUCACACGACAACCCAGAAGAAUCUACAAAGGACAACGGCGACAUUGACUGGGCGCUCCAGAGCCUCACAUCACCAGCUCAACUAUCAAAGCCAGCUUCACGUAAAUGCAAUGCAUUACUUUUCUGAAUGAGCGAUCGUUAGUGGCAUAUGUAUUUAUGUGAGAAUAGCUUCUAAGGUCCAAUAGAGACCCAUGGUCCUUAGUCUUCCUUCCAAAACCCCUUUCUCUUCUCUCUGAAUCUAUUGUGUUAUAACUAAGCUGCUUUUGUUUAGUCCACUAGGGACGGUAUUUACUGUAUAAUGUUAUUAUGUAUUGUAUAUUCUGUAAUUGUUUAUUUAGUUAGUAAAUAAAUAAUUGAGGCAAUUGGUGUAUGGAUGAUUCAUAGUAGAGGCUGGGUUCGUUCAGAUAACCAAGAAUUUUACGUCGUUCAGAUGAAACUGACGAAGGUAAUAAUAAGAACUCAUUAAUAGAAGACUAAUUGAUCAGAUAUUAAAAUAUCUUAAGAGUUAUAUUCAGCAAAUUAUGACUCUGUAAGCCAACAUUUUCCGUGGUGCCCCGACUUCCUAGUUAAUUCAAUUUACAUGAUUAAUUUAAUUACGUAAUAAUAAUGACAAAGAAUUGAUUUGAUAAAAGAACAGUCGUCACAUUUAAUGAUAAGUCAGAGACACGGCACUACCCGCUGCAUUUACAUUUCUAAAGUCUAUUAAUGGUGACAAAAUUGUCCAAUGCUGUAAAAGUUUUCAAAAAAAUCUAAAAUGAAUUUGCUUGCAGAUUAUUAAAAAAAUAAAUAAAAACAUAGUCAAAUAAUACCCCUUAACAAUGUAAAUUAACAUAAAUGCUUAAUGUAUUUGUAUAUUUUUACUACAUUGAACAAAUAAAUAAAUGCUUGUGUUGCCUUUAUGUCACCGGUGUUCAGGCUUUCCUGAAUUCAGGCUUUCCAAAAAUGUAAUAUGACUAAUUAAUUUGCAUAUACAGUGCAUUUGGAAAGUAUUCAGACCCCUUGACUUUUUACACAUUUAGUUACAUUACAGACUUAUUCUAAAAUGGAUUCAAUAUUUUUUUUACGGUCAUCAAUCUACACACAACACCCCAUAAUCACAUAGUGAAAACAGGUUUUUAGAUAAUAAAUAAAACAAUGAAAUAUCACAUUUACAUAAUACAUAGUAUUCUGACGCUUUACUCAGUACUUUGUUGAAGCACCUUUGGCAGCGAUUACAGCCUUGAGUUUUCUUGGGUAUGACGCUACAAGCUUGGCACACCUGUAUUUGGGGAGUUUCUCCCUUACUGAUGCUAGCAUUGGAUGUGCUUGUGGAAGCAGAGAAAAACUCACCUAAAUGUAUAUGUCACGUUCUGACCUUAGUUCCUCUGUUUUGUCUUUGUUUUAGUAUGGUCAGGGCGUGAGUUGGGGUGGGCAGUCUAUGUUCCUUUUUCUAUCAUUUGGUAUUUCUGUGUUUGGCCUGGUAUGGUUGUCAAUUGGAGGCAGCUGUCAAUCGUUGUCCCCGAUUGAGAACCAUAUUUAGGUAGCCUGGUUUCACUUCUGAGUUGUGGGUGAUUAUUUUCCUGUUUCGUUUGUUUCUUUUAUUCACGUUGUUAUUUUGUAUUUUAUUGUUCAGGCAAAUAAACAUCAUGAACAGUACUUACCACA
ensembl:lncRNA